GCACACGAAAAACCCGAAGGAGAGAAGCCAGAUGAAAUUAAUAUCCAGAGAUAAAUAUUUGUGUGUCAAACAGUAGGCUAAGAUGCGGCCAUUUUAUUGACACUGUAAAUGGACAGUAGCCUACUCUGGACAACAAAACUGUUAAGUGAAGUUUGAAAGGAGUUGGACUCUGGCUUAAGUCCAAACUAAUUUAAAAGUGAACUAACCUACAUGACUGAAAUUAAACAACUGGGAGAGUUAGCUUUUUUUGCAGUAACGUUACUGACAUUAGCUAACGUUACUUUUAGUUUGCUAGCACAUGCAGCGUUGGAGGCCAAUGGAGGGUGGAAAUGACGAUGUCUGUCAACAACUCCACAGAAGUACCAUGGCAGCACCAAGUGCAGAAGUUAGCUACAUGACAUGGCUAUUUUGACCACUUCGCCUCCAUGAAUGGAAGAAGAGACGACUUUAGCUUCAGAGAGUGAUGAUCAUGCCAUGCACAGUCCCAAUCUGGUCAGGUGUACUCAAGGCUGAGCACUAAAGAGGAGGAGGGCUAAUGGGCUAUUUCUCACCUCUGUAGAGCAUAACUCUGCCAUCUGCUGCAGGGAGUCUCUCUUAGCGCCUCGCUCCUCUCUCUGGAACAGCGAAUGGACAAAUGGCAACCUGAGAGUCGCACUCAGCAGCUGAAUACAGGACUGGGCGCACAUGGACUUAUUGCUAUUUUCCCUUGGCUCAUCUUGUCCCUCCGCCACUUCCUCUCACCACCUUUUGUCAAUUUUACUUGUAUAGCCCAAUGUUGCGAAUCACAAAUUUGCCUGAAGGGGCUUUACAAUCUGUACGGGAUACAACACUUUCUGAACCCAUGAUUAGGAUGAGGAAGAACUCCUCCAGAAAAAAACUUAAACGGGGACGAAAAGGUGGAAGAAACCUCAGGAAAAGCCACAGAGCAGGGGUCCCUCUUCUAGGACAGACAGACAUGCAACGGAUGUCUUUCUCUGUUGCUCUGACUUUUCUUACUGUGUCCUCCAAAAAAUAUUGACACAGUCGCAUGCAUGCACAAGCAAACUGAUGCUUCUUCCAAACUUGUUUGAGUUUUUUAAGAAAUUAAAUGCCUAAUUAAAAGUCUUGAAACUACA